rnacentral:rRNA from 1 species
UACGUAGGGACCGAGCGUUGUCCGGAAUCAUUGGGCGUAAAGAGCGUGUAGGCGGCCAUUUAAGUCCUGCGUGAAAUCUUGCGGCUCAACCGCAAGCGGUCGUGGGAAACUGGGUGGCUAGAGUGCGGGAGAGGAGAGUGGAAUUCCUGGUGUAGCGGUGGAAUGCGCAGAGUAUCAGGAAGAACACCCGUGGCGAAGGCGGCUCUCUGGAACGCAACUGACGCUGAGACGCGAAAGCGUGGGGAGCAAACAGG